rnacentral:rRNA from 1 species
CCUACGGGUGGCAGCAGUGGGGAAUAUUGCACAAUGGGCGCAAGCCUGAUGCAGCCAUGCCGCGUGUGUGAAGAAGGCCUUCGGGUUGUAAAGCACUUUCAGCGGGGAGGAAGGCGGUGGGGUUAAUAACCUCAUCGAUUGACGUUACCCGCAGAAGAAGCACCGGCUAACUCCGUGCCAGCAGCCGCGGUAAUACGGAGGGUGCAAGCGUUAAUCGGAAUUACUGGGCGUAAAGCGCACGCAGGCGGUCUGUCAAGUCGGAUGUGAAAUCCCCGGGCUCAACCUGGGAACUGCAUUCGAAACUGGCAGGCUAGAGUCUUGUAGAGGGGGGUAGAAUUCCAGGUGUAGCGGUGAAAUGCGUAGAGACCUGGAGGAAUACCGGUGGCGAAGGCGGCCCCCUGGACAAAGACUGACGCUCAGGUGCGAAAGCGUGGGGAGCAAACAGGAUUAGAUACCCUAGUAGUC